CUACAAGGUCCAAGGCCUUGGAAAUCAUUCCUUGCCCACAGAAUGGGUUUACUCCAGAAGGCCUGUGUAGCAAAGAACUUGGAGUAGGGGCAGCUGUGAUUUACAUAAGGCCACUCCAAAAAGAUAUUGACCUGCAGGAUCCUCCCAGUGUGACCGUCACAGGUCAAACUGCAGGACCAAUGGUGGAAUGUGUCUACUGUGCAGAGUUAUUUAGCUUCUCUGAGAUUCAAGGCCACAACGACUGUUGUGAAAAAAAAAAUAACCCAGAUUCUGCUGCUGAAGAAACCGUUGAGAAUACCCAGGCAGGAACCUCAGCUGCUGCUAGCUCAUCAGGCAACCAAAAUCCACGGGAAGAAAAUGAAAGUAGUAGCUGUGAAGAGUGGAAAACAGAGCCUGAUUUUUACAAGGCAGCCAACAUAUUUUGCCAUCACUUGCUCAGCACUGCGGAACUGAAGCCAGGGUUGGUUGCCAGGCUUGAUCUCGGAUCCACUGAGGAAGGUCGUUAAAGGGAAAUUCUGACUUUCUACAAAAAAACGGGUAUUGACUGGUCAAGCCCAUUUUCUGUUAUACUGACUGGUGAUGCAGCUAUCGGAGAUGGUGUAAAACAACAUUUCCUGUCUAUGUUGGGAUCUGGAGAAGUACCACCUUUCUCCUGCAGAGUGCGCCGUGGGUGUCCUGGGCUGGAGCCCUCCAGCACACCUGGU